GAUGAACGCUGGCGGCGUGCCUAAUACAUGCCAGUCGAGCGAACGGACGAGAAGCUUGCUUCUCUGAUGUUAGCGGCGGACGGGUGAGUAACACGUGGAUAACCUGCCUAUAAGACUGGGAUAACUUCGGGAAAACGGAGCUAAUACCGGAUAAUAUUUUGAAACGCAUGGGUCAAAAGUGAAAGACGGGCUUGCUGUCACUUAUAGAUGGAUCCGCGCUGCAUUAGCUAGUUGGUAAGGUAACGGCUUACCAAGGCAACGAUGCAUAGCCGACCUGAGAGGGUGAUCGGCCACACUGGAACUGAGACACGGUCCAGACUCCUACGGGAGGCAGCAGUAGGGAAUCUUCCGCAAUGGGCGAAAGCCUGACGGAGCAACGCCGCGUGAGUGAUGAAGGUCUUCGGAUCGUAAAACUCUGUUAUUAGGGAAGAACAUAUGUGUAAGUAACUGUGCACAUCUUGACGGUACCUAAUCAGAAAGCCACGGCUAACUACGUG
rnacentral:rRNA from 1 species